rnacentral:rRNA from 1 species
UGGGGAAUAUUGCACAAUGGGCGCAAGCCUGAUGCAGCCAUGCCGCGUGUGUGAAGAAGGCCUUCGGGUUGUAAAGCACUUUCAGCGAGGAGGAAGGUGGUGAACUUAAUACGUUCAUCAAUUGACGUUACUCGCAGAAGAAGCACCGGCUAACUCCGUGCCAGCAGCCGCGGUAAUACGGAGGGUGCAAGCGUUAAUCGGAAUUACUGGGCGUAAAGCGCACGCAGGCGGUUUGUUAAGUCAGAUGUGAAAUCCCCGGGCUCAACCUGGGAACUGCAUUUGAAACUGGCAAGCUAGAGUCUCGUAGAGGGGGGUAGAAUUCCAGGUGUANGCGGUGAAAUGCGUAGAGAUCUGGAGGAAUACCGGUGGCGAAGGCGGCCCCCUGGACGAAGACUGACGCUCAGGUGCGAAAGCGUGGGGAGCAAACAGGAUUAGAUACCCGUGGUAGUCCACGCUGUAAAACGAUGUCGAUUUGGAGGUUGUGCCCUUGAGGCGUGGCUUCCGGAGCUAACGCGUUNAAAUCGACCGCCUGGGGAGUACGGCCGCAAGGUUAAAACUCAAAUGAAUUGACGGGGUCAUAGC